rnacentral:lncRNA from 1 species
GAUAUAAUUUCUCCCCUUCUUUGUUUUUUAAGAAGGUAUAGUUUUUAAAGUUCUACAAUACCUUGGCUUUGAGAAUUAUAAAAUAUCUCAGUAACAUGUGUAACAUUAAAUUGUUGACAAAACAUCUCUUGGAGGUUUUGAAAAUAAAAAUCUUGAAGCAAAUAAAUUUCUCUUUCUUAGAUUUUUCUGUAACUAAAAUCCUAAAUAUAAAAAUAUAUUGUCUCUGAAUCUUAUGGAGCAAUAACUACUCCCCAGAACUUUAAACUUCCCUUUAGAGGUGUGGCACAUCUGUGAGCCUGUGACAGAGAGGAUUGUCCUGUAGAGUGUUGAGAUGCUCUUGGGACAGCUAUCCUCUUGUGUACACAGCUAUCCCUUGGCUUUUUUAUGUUAUAGUAAUUCCCCUUGCUCCAAGCUACUUUACACAUAUGUUCUAUUUCUAACUGAACUGCAAAUUAAAAAAAAAAAAAGUUUUACUCCUCUCCUUUCUGUCUCCCAAUUAGCACUGUAAAUGCUGAAUUAGCAGUCUGGACGCCUUGUAGCCUUGAAGGUCCCUCUUUAAGGACACUCUUCAUUCCUUUGGUGAUAACUAGCUUUUUUGUGGUAAAUAUUUGAGAGGAAUUAUUUUUUUAAGGGCAGAAUUUAGGAAGACACAACAGUUGAUUGCCACCAAGCAUGAUGACCUGAGUUUGACCCCUGGGAACCAUAUGGUAGAAGGAAAAACCAACUGUAGCAAGUUGUUCUGUGACCUCUAUAAACCUACUGUAGUAUACAUACAAGUUGCCCUCCACAAAUAAAAAAUAAGUAAGAAAAACUUAGAAAUUUCCUCCAAGGUUGGUUGCAUAAUUGCUUUGAGACGGAGGUGAGUUACAACUUAAUUGUGGCCUAAACACAUGGCAAAGGUUUCUCAUCUAGGAAUGGCCAGAAAGCAGUGAAAGACAGAAAAGGGUCCAGCCAGGGCUACAGCCCCAACCAGUCUACUUUUUCAGCAGGCCUCGCUGCUGAGAGUUUCCACAGCCCUCUGAGGCAGGAUAGAAAGUCUUGGUGACAGGAGAAGGGGAAGAAGCCCCUCCCGCAGAGUCCACCUGAAGCCCCCACCAGCAAAAGUGGCAAGGAUUCCAGCGCAGUAACCAGCGCUUACAGCCCUUCCCAGCUCUAAACCUGCCAGAGCUCCGUGAAGGUGUCUCCUGAGCAACCCUGGAAUCUCACUUGUUGGAAGAGAGCAAAGGAAGGAUUUCUUACCAGGCUUUCUGAGAUAUACUUAAGAGCCUCCUAAUGACUAAUUAGGUGUCGAUGACUAUUUCUAACUGAUUAACUGUGGCUGUCUCUUGAGGAGCCUGUAUCACAUUUGAGUAUGAUUUGCUUUCUUCACCUCUCUCCAGCAAGCCCACACCCAUGCUAUUCACUGUAUUUCCCGGCUUUCCCUCCUGACCCUCCUGCGUAAGACUAUAUUAAAAUACCUCUAAUAGGUCUCCUACUCUGCUGACCCGUCCAGCAGGUCCAGUUAUUCGAGCGUCUCGAGGGGACCUUCUCCUAAGAACCAAAUGGGGUGUAGAGAGAGACUAGAACCUUGUGCAAUGAACGACACAUGGAAGCAGUCUGAGUAGCAUCAAAGUCCCAAUGUAUUAGCAAGGCUCAAGGUUUAAAUGCACAAGCAAAAGGGGAAGUACUUCUCAGCAGGAGGGAUGGGGCAGCGGAAAUUUUUCUUUUGGCGACUACACGGGGAAGCAGGAACUUGGCAGUAUCAGGGUACAUCUUGAGGUCAGGACAUCCAGCGCUGACUUAGGGCUGGAACAAUCUGUGGUUGUUCUCGGAGCGGUGCGUCGGUGGCCAGCUUUUGACCCCCUUUUCUUCUUGUGGGGAGAGGCCCAAUUCAGAGAUCAGGACAAUAGUGUUGUCUUAAUAGCUCCCAACACUCUGCUUAGUUGUAAAGUGGCUAAUCCCGAAAUUAUUUUUUUAGUGUUGGUACUACAAUUCUGGUUUGGCUUGAGUUGACACCCCUAAAGCUUAGGGGAGCUCUUACUGCUGAGGGGAGCAUAUGAAUCUGUUUCUGUUCUCUCAGUGAUGACAAUCAAAUAGUGCCUUCAAGUUAUAUAUAUAAUGAUUGAUCCAUUAACUAGGUCAGAGCCAUGUGUUCCAGUCUCUCUCAAUGAUUACAUGUACCACGUGAAAUGAAGGCUUCCACGUGAGCCUUUUGUGGGGGAUACUUCAUAUCCAAACCACAAUAACCUUACGGCCUGUCUCCCACAGAGUAGGAGGAUAUGGACAAAGUGGAGCUAAGUGUGGUCUCUACCUAAUUUUCAACAGAAUCCCCAUUCCCGUUUGAUGUAGCCUUUGCUGCCCACAUUCCUAUCAGUUUUCUGGUCUUCUAAGCCCUCACUUGAAUGACUCAUUAAGCUCUGCUUACAUCAUUCUAAGCUCUCUCUAGAUCCUCCAAACUUGUCCAUAUUCCUCCUGCAAAGUAAUCGCCCAUUGUCCAUCAUAUAGUAAUGGUAAUGACCCUACUUCUUAGAAACAAUUCUCUGUCGGCCAGCCUUCAGGCAUUGUAACAAAUACUGGGAUGAUUAUAAAGAGAAACUAUUUAGUUUUGAUCCUAAUGUGUACUAGUCCAUAACUGAUUGGUCCUGUUGCUUUUGAGCCUGUGGUGAGGCAGCACCACAUCACAGCCAGAGCCUUUAUCAGCAAAACUGCUAGCAUCAGAGCGGGAAAGAACAGGAGAGUACAGGGAGCGGGACCCCAGUCUGCUUCAGCAGCCUAUCCUUGGUGUCCUAAAUAUUCCAGUAGGUUCUAUCUCUUAAAAGAUACUGCUCUCUGAGGACCAGGCCUCUGGCAUACACUUUUUUUUUUUUUUUAAGAUUUAUUUAUUUAUUAUAUAUAAGUGCACUGUAGCUGUCUUCAGCCUCACCAGAAGAGGGCAUCAGAUCUCAUUACAGAUGGUUGUGAGCCACCAUGUGGUUUCUGGGAUUUGAACUGGAAACCACUGGAAGAGCAGUCAGUGCUCUUAACAGCCAAGUCACCUCUCCAGCCCCUGGCAUACAUGUUUUGAAGGGUCAUUCUGGAUACAAGAAUAAGGCAUAACCCAUCCUCUGUUAGUGUCUUUAUAUGGCCAAAGGAGAAAUAAAGAAAUGGACUUACUAGAGUGCCAACAGUUACAGAAUUAGGAGCUGUUUGUGAGAAGUACAGGGACACAUCAUACACACACACACACACACACACACACACACACACACACACACACACACACAAGUUGUUUAGCACCAGACUGAUGAGUUCAGUAUUCCUUUGACCUACCAAAAGAUAAUUCCCACUUCCCAUCCUGCUGCCCUUGAGAAGGACUAACGUGUUGCAGAUGUUCGCCUGCAUUGUAAAACCUUGCUUGAAUACCAUAUGUGUUAGGAGAGGCACACAUGCUAAAACUGGCAGUGAAUUUUUCAUCUCCUUGGCAUUUGAAGAAGUACUUUAGAAUUCAGAGUUCUUGUUUCUGUGCUCAGAUAUGGUGGCAUAAGAAAAAUUGAAGAUUUGGUUGUAUUUUCUUCAGUGUUUUAGUUAGAUUGGAAAGCCCUGGGUUGGAGAGGAAACUGCAGUGGCUUUUGCUUGCAGCUCAGGUUUUUUGAUUGUUUUUUCCUUUGCUGAAGGAACGGCUGCUCUCCUGCUGGUGGCAGCAGGGCUCUAUGCAUGCAUAGCCAUGGAAAUGGUUUAACUACAGCACUGCUUACCUCCUCUAGUUUGUGUCUUCCGCAUUCAACAUCUCUCUGUAUUUUAAGUACUUUAUAUUUUAAUCUAAUGUACCCUCCGUCUUUAUGAUAGAUUCAUGCUAAAAACAAACGAACAAAUACAGAUAGAGCUUGUAGUUACUGUAGAAUUCUCAGGUAACUUUGUUUCAGAAGUAAUGCAUGCUGUGAAGUAGGGAUCAGUAUUAGGGAAGCCGGCAUCACAGUGCGUGCCAUCUAACUUUAAGUGUACUGAGGCAAUCGUUCCUUGUUUAGUUCUCAUCAGGCAUCCAAAGUGCCCGGAAUCAAGGGGAGCUUUUAGUAAGCCUGACCUUGUUUCAAGCAGCCAGUAAUUCAUUUGAUCUCAGUGUACCUUAAGAAAUAUGAGAUCAUUUGGCAGAGACAGACUCAAACCUCCCUGCCCCACUUUUGUGAGUAAAGUAAAUUCUAAGCAUAAAUUCAUUCAAGCUUUCAACCCCCUACUUAAAAAACCUUUCGUCUUUAUCUUCCACUUCUGUGUACCAUUCUGCCUGUUAGUGUGGAUAUGUUCAGCAUUCGUUCCAUGGUCAACUACCCACAUAUGUUCUUGGUCCUGUCUUCUCUGCCUCACUUUCAAGAAGCCUAUCAGAGUAGGUUGCCUCAGGUAUUCAACAGACAUUCUGAAAGCUCCUAUUUUGUUCAAGUCCUAGGUUAGCAGUGUAUGGUGAGGUAAGGGCUAAGAUCUGGUGUUGUGAAGUUGUUGUAGUUGUAGUGGAAGAAGGUGGUGAGUGUACAAUUAUAGUUGUCCUGUCUUUUAGGGAACUUGUGGGCCAGUCACAGUGCCACACUCCUUUAAUCCCAGCACUCAGGAGGCAGAGGUGGGCAGAGCUUCACUCCAACCUGAUCUCCAUAGUGAGUUACAGGCCACCAGGGCCACCUAGUCUC